AGAGGGAUAGCUGGGUCAAAUGGUGGUUCCAUUCUCAAUUUUCCAAAAAUCUCCAUACUAUUUUCCAUAUUGGCUGCACCAGUUUGCAGUCCCACCAGCAGU
rnacentral:pre_miRNA from 1 species